rnacentral:rRNA from 1 species
CUUAAGCAUAUCAAUAAGCGGAGGAAAAGAAACCAACAGGGAUUGCCCCAGUAACGGCGAGUGAAGCGGCAAGAGCUCAAAUUUGAAAGCUGGCCCCCUCGGGGUCCGCGUUGUAAUUUGCAGAGGAUGCUUCGGGUGCAGCCCCCGUCUAAGUGCCCUGGAACGGGCCGUCAUAGAGGGUGAGAAUCCCGUCUGGGACGGGGUGUCUGCGUCCGUGUGAAGCUCCUUCGACGAGUCGAGUUGUUUGGGAAUGCAGCUCUAAAUGGGUGGUAAAUUUCAUCUAAAGCUAAAUACUGGCCGGAGACCGAUAGCGCACAAGUAGAGUGAUCGAAAGAUGAAAAGCACUUUGAAAAGAGAGUUAAACAGCACGUGAAAUUGUUGAAAGGGAAGCGUUUGCGACCAGACUCGCCCGCGGGGUUCAGCCGGCAUUCGUGCCGGUGUACUUCCCCGUGGGCGGGCCAGCGUCGGUUUGGGCGGCCGGUCAAAGGCCCUCGGAAUGUAUCACCUCUCGGGGUGUCUUAUAGCCGAGGGUGCAAUGCGGCCUGCCUGGACCGAGGAACGCGCUUCGGCUCGGACGCUGGCGUAAUGGUCGUAAAUGACCCGUCUUGAAACACGGACCAAGGAGUCUAACAUCUACGCGAGUGUUCGGGUGUCAAACCCGUACGCGCAGUGAAAGCGAACGGAGGUGGGAGCCCCCCCGCGGGGCGCACCAUCGACCGAUCCUGAUGUCUUCGGAUGGAUUUGAGUACGAGCGUAGCUGUGGGGACCCGAAAGAUGGUGAACUAUGCCUGAAUAGGGCGAAGCCAGAGGAAACUCUGGUGGAGGCUCGCAGCGGUUCUGACGUGCAAAUCGAUCGUCAAAUUUGGGUAUAGGGGCGAAAGACUAAUCGAACCAUCUAGUAGCUGGUUCCUGCCGAAGU